GCCCUGUUCAAAUGGUUACAAAGUUCAGCUAGAGAAUUCCUUCUCCCUGUAGAGUUUUACCCCCUGCUCCUCUGGCCGCCCUCCGGAUGGAUCUUUGUGUUGCCAGGCAGGAAUGGGCUGCUUGGGGACCCAGUGAGCUCCGAGGGCCUUUCUGCUGCUUCCUGUACCCCUGUAUUUCGCUCAGCUCUCUGACUUGACUCAGCUCCAGACAUCUACCCCUGGAGAAAGAGCCCAAUGAGAAGUAAUCUCUGAAGCCCAGAUUUCCUAAGGAUGAAGCUUCAGGAGAGGCCUUAUCAAUCCUGACAACAAACUUUUCUCGUCAAUUUAGUUUCAUUUAAUGGAAGUUUUAAAUGUGUAAAGUUCAGAAGGCUAUUAAAAUUGGUUCCAGCUAUCUAAGAUACACACACAACCACACACGCGCACACACGGUAGAGAUAAAUAUGUUCGAA
rnacentral:lncRNA from 1 species